AUCAUUAAAGCGUUGAGCCUGCGCCCCCGGCGUAGGUGAAACCCCACCCGUGACUACUACACCACAUGUUGCUUUGGCGGGCCCGCCUCUGGCUGCCGGAGUUUCUCUGGAUAGCGCCCGCCAAAGAUACACUGAACUUCUGUGAAACUGGAUGUCUGAGUUGAAUAUCAAUCAUUAAAACUUUCAACAAUGGAUCUCUUGGUUCCGGCAUCGAUGAAGAACGCAGCGAAAUGCGAUAAGUAAUGUGAAUUGCAGAAUUCCGUGAAUCAUCGAAUCUUUGAACGCACAUUGCGCCCUCUGGUAUUCCGGAGGGCAUGCCUGUCCGAGCGUCAUUGCAACCUUCAAGCGCGGCUUGUGUGUUGGGCCUCGUCCCCCGUGGACGGGCCUCAAAGGCAGUGGCGGCGUCCGUUUUGGUGCCCGAGCGUAUGGGAAUUCUAUACCGCUUCAAGGCCCGGCGGCGCUGGUCAAGACCAAUUUUUAUCGGUUGACCUC
rnacentral:rRNA from 1 species